rnacentral:rRNA from 1 species
UACAGAGGUCCCAAGCGUUGUUCGGAUUCACUGGGCGUAAAGGGUGCGUAGGCGGUCAUUUAAGUCUGACGUGAAAUCUCCGGGCCUAACCCGGAAACUGCGUUGGAAACUAUCUGACUAGAGGAAUGGAGGGGAGAUUGGAAUACUUGGUGUAGCAGUGAAAUGCGUAGAUAUCAGGAGGAAUACCGAUGGCGAAGGCAGGUCUCUGGGCUGAUACUGACGCUCAUGCACGAAAGCGUGGGGAGCAAACAGG